CUCUUUGAUUUGUUGACAUUUUCACAGCUAGCACCAUUAGACCAAAUCUUCUGCACAGUUUCCCUGCCAGCUUCCUACUUAGUCUUCUCCAUAUUCCUGGCAUAGUUGUGUCCAUUCCAGUUACUCCGAACCACUGCAACAACUCAUUUAAGCAUCUUCUUGAUAAUGGACAUUUAAAGAAUAAAUGAUUAGAUCUUCGUCUACUUCCCCACAUAACAGGCAUAUCACUUCCUGGCCAAAGCCCAUUUUCUGCAUUCUCUUCAAUGUUAAUAGCCUAUUAUGAGCACUAACCCAACAUAUGAAGUUGUGCUAAGGCACGUUCAGGCUAUUCCAGACCCAUCUCCAAUGCUGC
rnacentral:lncRNA from 1 species